UACGAAGGGGGCGAGCGUUUGUUCGGAUUUACUGGGCGUAAAGGGCGCGUAGGCGGCCUGGUAAGUCAGAUGUGAAAGCCCAGGGCUCAACCUUGGAAGUGCAUCUGAAACUGCUAGGCUAGAGUCUCGGAGAGGGUGGUGGAAUUCCCAGUGUAGAGGUGAAAUUCGUAGAUAUUGGGAGGAACACCGGUGGCGAAGGCGACCGCCUGGACGAAGACUGACGCUGAGGCGCGAAAGCGUGGGGAGCAAACAGG
rnacentral:rRNA from 1 species